rnacentral:rRNA from 1 species
GACGAACGCUGGCGGCGUGCCUAAUACAUGCAAGUCGAGCGAAGUUUUUCUGGUGCUUGCACUAGAAAGACUUAGCGGCGAACGGGUGAGUAACACGUAAAGAACCUGCCUCAUAGACUGGGACAACUAUUGGAAACGAUAGCUAAUACCGGAUAACAGUAUUUCUCGCAUGAGAGAUAUUUAAAAGUUGGUUAUGCUAACACUAUGAGAUGGCUUUGCGGUGCAUUAGCUAGUUGGUGGGGUAAAGGCCCACCAAGGCGACGAUGCAUAGCCGACCUGAGAGGGUGAUCGGCCACACUGGAACUGAGACACGGCCCAGACUCCUACGGGAGGCAGCAGUAGGGAAUCUUCCGCAAAGGGCGAAAGCCUGACGGAGCAACGCCGCGUGAGUGAAGAAGGAUUUCGGUUCGUAAAGCUCUGUUGUUAGGGAAGAAUGGAUGUGUAGUAACUAUACAUGUAAGAGACGGUACCUAACCAGAAAGCCACGGCUAACUACGUG